rnacentral:lncRNA from 1 species
CUUGUUUACAGAAUUCUCCCAAUAAUAUGAGCCUGAGUAAUCAACCGGGCACUCCAAGGGAUGAUGGCGAAAUGGGGGGAAAUUUCUUAAAUCCUUUUCAGAGUGAGAGUUACUCCCCUAGCAUGACAAUGAGCGUGUGAUCCAUUACCAAGUCUCCUCAUGAAAACCACAGUGAGUCAGCCCUUCACAGAACUACUACGGAAGAAAAUUAUUCAUCACAGUGUACAGUUAAACAAAGGAAUCUCAGUCACACCAAACCAACCUUUUUAUUUCCUGCUCUCUCCCCUCUUUUGUGAAGAAAGCGGGUCCAAACGUGAUUCAAACAACUGUACGGAGUGGCAUAUUAGAAUUGCCCUAAACUGAACUGCAAAUAAUUAUGUGUGUAUGUAUAUGUGUGGGAAAGAGAAUGUACUGUAUAUGUGUAUGUUAUACAGACAUAUGCACAUACAUACAUUGACCCACAGGACAUUGUAAAAUAUUAUCACAUGACAUCUUAAGUAGAAAUAAGUAGGGACUUUUAUUCCAUCCUUUUUUUCACGUUUACAUUUUAAUUAUUACAAGUUGCUCCUGCCCCCUCCCUGAACUAUUUUGUGCUGUGUAUAUCACUGCUUUAUAUAAGUUAUUUUUUAAGGUGAACUCAGAUGUUAUGGUUUUGUAAAUGUCUGCAAUCAUGGAUAGGAAUAAAAUCGCU